GACGAACGCUGGCGGCGUGCCUAAUACAUACAAGUAGAACGCUGAAGAGAGGAGCUUGCUCUUCUUGGCUGAGUUGCGAACGGGUGAGUAACGCGUAGGUAACCUGCCUUGUAGCGGGGGAUAACUAUUGGAAACGAUAGCUAAUACCGCAUAACAAUGGAUGACACAUGUCAUUUCUUUGAAAGGGGAAAUUGCUCCACUACAAGAUGGACCUGCGUUGUAUUAGCUAGUAGGUGAGGUAAUGGCUCACCUAGGCGACGAUACAUAGCCGACCUGAGAGGGUGAUCGGCCACACUGGGACUGAGACACGGCCCAGACUCCUACGGGAGGCAGCAGUAGGGAAUCUUCUUUAUGUGUGUCAACCUGUACUUAGCAACUCUGCGUGAGUGAAGAAGGUUUUCGGAUCGUAAAGCUCUGUUGUAAGUCAAGAACGGGUGUGAGAGUGGAAAGUUCACACUGUGACGGUAGCUUACCAGAAAGGGACGGCUAACUACGUG
rnacentral:rRNA from 1 species